rnacentral:misc_RNA from 1 species
CGCAAAAAAAAAAACGCUGCCUGCAUUCGGAGAUGACCACCGGUGCAGCCGACAAGAAGCACCUAGUACCACUUCUGGAGUUUUUACGAUUUGUAUCGGAACGAGGCAGGAGCCAAGCAGCCCGAUUUCCGAGGCGGAUCAACGGUGUCACCGACAUGAAGUGCGAACCGUGCGAUUCCAGUAUAGAGGCAGACUCGCUUCCAGUGAAGCAUGAAUUUAACGGCGAGGUUGCCUACAGCAGCAGCUAUGAUAGGUCUCCUUCCGCGUCGCGCGAGAACGCUGUUCCUAUGUUACCAGCUGAAGGGUGGCGAAAGCGGAGUCGCUCUGAUGAUGAAAUUUCGGAGGUGAUUGUUGGCUCAAGUGCGCCCAUCGACUGCGAACUUGAGUUCAUGACGACUGGAAAGGGAUGCGUCACGUCAAAAUACUUUGAUUUUUCAUUGCUUGAUUUAGGUGCGGUGCCGAUGAUCGAACCAGCCGUGGAAGUCCUUACGAAAGAUGUUGCAAAGCAAAUACAGGGCAAAGGAUGCUGCUACGUGCUUCCUGGUACUUCCAUGGUUGUGACAGGUGACAUUGUGGAUGUCAGCCUCGCGUCCGAAACGGUUCUCGUCUCUCCUGACCGUGGAUUACGAGUCGGCUUGGAAUGGGUGUCGGUUCGGCGCGUGUUCCACGUGCCGCACAACAUAGCGGCCGUGCGGGAAGAAGCGGCGUUCCGAAUUCAGAGUAUCAUCGAAGCAGAGCGGCGAGGGGAAAGAACACCAAGGUUUUCGCCUGUCCUGCUGGCGGAGACUGCAGAGGAGCUGUCAUCACCUUUGUCACCUGACAGCCAACAGGACGCGUAGGCGCAAAUUUUUCGCAGUUGCACGUUUCUGGUAUAGUUUGCACUCUGAGCAGAUGCUUUCUAGGAAAUCUGAAUCAUGACCUUGUUAACGGGAGCCUCAUUUUUUGUUUCUGUUGCGUUCCUCAUUUUUUUAUUGUAUGAGCAUGCUGUGAUACGUUCUUGCAGGUUCUUUUGUUUGUGUGAGCUCUCGCCCGUAGCUCUCUGUUUGGGUAUUUUUUUUCUCUGGAAGUCUUCAACUUUUUUUUCUACCGUGCACGGGAUGUAAUCGACGUCCUAACUUCUAGCUUUCUUCAUUUUUCUUGAAAGAAAGGGAAUAUUCCGACUGCUCUGAGAGUCAGCAUCUCCUGAUUAUGUUAAUUG